rnacentral:lncRNA from 1 species
CAAAUUUCUAAGCAACUGCUAUUAGCUGUGAGCGCUCCACUGCACAUUUCCAUACACAGGAGAACAAUAACUUACUCAGCGUUUUGAAAAAAUGAGAAACAAUAUGUUAGGACUAAAUGUUGCCAUAUCAACUGCCUCGGAAGUGCUUUUCAGAGUCACUAUAAGAAUUAAUAACCUAGUAAGAAUGUAUUGCAGAUAUCAGGAAACCUGAUUCACGGCUAGCAGGGCUUCUCAGGCUCAGUGCUAUAAAGGCAUCAUAUUCAACCCACAAGCAGAAAGAGACAUUUGCUUUUGCUUCAUAGGUCUCUGCAUUUUUUUGAGGAACAUCAGGAAGUCUGAAUCACACCUUUUCUCUAACCACGGGAAUGUCUGUGGAUAAGAUGGUUACCCCCUACCUUAUCCUCCACAGGUCAUCAAACAGGCCAUCCUCAAGCUGUGGCAGAAGCAGUGCAAUGGCUGUCUCUGCAUACAUACUUAUGAUCCUCUGGCCAGCACGCAGGGCAGUGUCCCGCACAAACUCAUUCUCAUCUGCCAGUGCCUUAAGGAUACAAGGGAUGAUGGGACCAACAUACGGAAUGAACUUGUCUCCAAAAGUAAUUGGCAGGUAGUUAAACAUCAUUAUAUAACCAUCUCGUACAUGUGGAGCAAUAUCCACCUUACUGGCAGUAGCUACAAUCUCUGGCAUAAGUUUCUCCAGCUUCUCCACCCCUAAACCAGCCAUAACUUCAGCCAGACCUUGAGCUGCACCAGAUCGGUCCACUGAGCUUUGCUCGUAUGUCAGUGUCUCCAUCAGCCAUGGCAACAAAUCCUCAAAGCAUGAUUCUCCCAUGCCCUUCACCAUGGCUCCCAGUGCCUUUGCAGAUACUGUA